GAUGAACGCUGGCGGCGUGCUUAACACAUGCAAGUCGAACGGAAAGGCCGAGCCUUGCUUCGGUACUCGAGUGGCGAACGGGUGAGUAACACGUGGGUGAUCUGCCCUGUACUUUGGGAUAAGUUCGGGAAACUGGGUCUAAUACCGGAUAUGACGAUCUCUUGGAUGGGGGGGUGGGGAGCGUUUGCGGUGUUGGAUGAGGACGCGGCGUAUCUGAGUUUUGGUGGGGUGUUGGCGCAUCAAGGCGUCGACGCGGGUCCGGCCUGAGAGGGUGUACGGCCACAUUUGGAGUGAGAGACGGCGCAGACUCCUACACGGGACAGCGGUGGGGAAUAUUGUGCAAUAGGGGCGAGACUCAGGUGGAGCAGCCGCGUGGGGGAUGACGGCGUCCGCGUGGUAUACUCCGUUCGCGAUCGACGAAGCCUGUUGGUGACGGUAGUUGGAGAAGAAGCACCGGCUAACUACGUG
rnacentral:rRNA from 1 species